AACUCUCCAAUGUGCGAAAGCGUGAGAGGGGAACUCCUAGUGCGUACGGUUCAUCCGUGCGCUUUUGCCAUGUGUAAAUAGCAUGGCGAAUAAGUGGUGGGUAAGACUGGUGCCAGCCGCCGCGGUAACACCAGCGCCACGAGUGGCUAUCGCGAUUAUUGGGCUUAAAGCGUCCGUAGUCGGCUUCGUGCAUCCUCUGUGAAAUCGCUGCGCUUAACGUAGCGGCAUGCGGGGGACACGGCGAAGCUUGAGACCGGGAGGCGUGAAGGGUACUCCGGGGGGACCGGUAAAAUGGUAUAAUCCCCGGAAGACCACCUGUGGCGAAGGCGCUUCACGAGAACGGAUCUGACGAUGAGGGACGAAAGCCAGGGGAGCAAACCGGAUUAGAUACCCGAGUAGUCCUGGCCGUAAACGCUGCCAGCUAGGUGUUGCAUGUACUUUGUGCACCUGCAGUAUCGGAGCGAAAGUAUUAAGCUGGCCGCCUGGGAAGUACGGUCGCAAGACUGAAACUUUA
rnacentral:rRNA from 1 species